rnacentral:rRNA from 1 species
AUGAAAUGCUUGGCUUGGAACUGUCGCGGGCUUGGGAACCCGGAGACAGUUCGAGAGCUUCACGAUCUCGUGAAGAUGGAAGUUCCCGCCUUGGUCUUCUUGUGUGAGACGAAGAUCGAGGGGAAGCGUGUAAGUGACUUGACAGUCAGGCUUGGUUUUGAAGGGUGCUGUCCGGUGAGUAGUGAUGGGCUCAGUGGAGGUUUAGCGUUGUUCUGGUCAAAGGAAGUAGAUGUAACCCUAAAUGCGUACUCGAAUCAGCAUAUUGAUGUAAUGGUUAAGAAUAUCGGAAGUGAUAAUAAGGUUUGGCGGUUUACGGGCUUCUACGCUAAGGCUAGAAGAAGUGAACGCGUCGAAAGUUGGAACCUGUUGAGAUGGCUCAAAACUCAGCAUGAUGUACCAUGGAUUUGUGGUGGUGAUUUUAAUGAAAUCAUAGACAAUUCUGAAUAUUUUGGAACGCAUGAUCGCCCAGAGUGGCAAAUGGACGGUUUUUGUCAGUGUCUUGAUGAUUGCGAAUUACAAGACCUGGGUUUCCAGGUGUCCCAUUUACAUGGGAUAAUAUGCAGCAAGGCGACUGUAAUGUUAAGGUUCGGUUGGACAGAUUCCUAG